rnacentral:tRNA from 1 species
GGGUCCUUAGCUCAUUCUGGCUAGAGCGCCUGCUUUGCACGCAGGAGGUGAUCGGUUCGAAUCCGAUAGGAUCCACCA